UCCAUAAAGAACUCUCGGGUAAAGAAAUUGAAAGGCUACCACUGAAAGAGGGCACCGUUAGGACCAGAAAACAAAACUUUGAGUUAAGAAAGACAAUUGUGAGUAAUUAUAGAUUAGAAGAGUAUGAUGAUCAACAGUAAAUCAAGAUUACAAUGGCCCAUGUUAGGGUUUGUCAAAGAUUUAUGUGAAAAGUGGUCCUAAUGCACUCUGAAUGAACAGAGUCCUCAAAAGAUUUGUAAAAUGUCCCACUGAAAGGAUCCUUGAGUGGAUACAGAUUAAAGCAUUUGUAAGAGAAAUCAUGUUGUGGUAAUUAAAAUUCUAAUGGUGCAUCAUGAUAAUGGAAGGUUUGUUAGUUAAAACAUAAACUCUCCCAGUUGGAUAAAGGUUUGAAUUAACAUUGAUCAUGUGGAAGCUAAAAGCUGCAAAUAAGUUUGUAUACUUAAUCCUGUAAAAGAAGAAUGUGUUUAUGGAAUGGAGAUGUUUUUUUCGGUAGUUUAAGAAAUACUGUCUUUCAUCUUAAUAAGAUGUGACAGAAGUGUGAUAAUGAACCUAUCUAGAAUAAAAAAAAGAGCAUAAAGAAGUAUUGAUUAUCAGAGCAGAAGGGACUUAAAGCCCCUUGACUUUUGACUCCAAUAAUUCUAACUUACAGUAUUAACUUCCCAUUGUAGCUCCUGCAGCACACAGUUAAUGGAAGAGAAAAUUAACUAGAAUAAAAGUAAGUUUUGUAUCACAACUAUGUCUCUAAUGAAUACAGAAACCUUUAACAGACUUUAAUAAAUGGAAAUUGGUUGCUGUCAUCACCAUUUUAAACCACUAGUCUUUGUAAUGAAUCUAUAGGUUUUUAGGGCAUUGAUUUCAAACUCUGAAACUAUUUAGACAUUUUUAUGUUGUGAUUUCCAAGGAACUCAGACAUUUUUGAUUAUCAUAUUUUUUAGGAGACCACCAGGGAUCUGAAAUUCCCAGAUAUACAUUUAAAAAAAACUCAUUAUGUAGAUUUGAUUAGGAGGGAAAUCAUUAUAAAGAUAUCUAAUUGUACUUAUGAUCUGUGGAAUUCUAGUCAUUUAGAUUAAAAUUAUAUCAUUUCUUUAUUAUUACUUUUAAUGUAUUUUUUUUUCUUACCCCAAUAACU